rnacentral:rRNA from 1 species
UACGAAGGGGGCUAGCGUUGCUCGGAAUCACUGGGCGUAAAGGGUGCGUAGGCGGGUUUUUAAGUCAGCGGUGAAAUCCUGGAGCUCAACUCCAGAACUGCCUUUGAUACUGGGAAUCUUGAGUAUGGAAGAGGUGAGUGGAACUGCGAGUGUAGAGGUGAAAUUCGUAGAUAUUCGCAAGAACACCAGUGGCGAAGGCGGCUCACUGGUCCAUAACUGACGCUGAGGCACGAAAGCGUGAGGAGCAAACAGG